rnacentral:rRNA from 1 species
CCUACGGGGGGCUGCAGUGAGGAAUAUUGGUCAAUGGGCGGGAGCCUGAACCAGCCAAGUCGCGUGAGGGAAGACGGUCCUAUGGAUUGUAAACCUCUUUAGGCGGGGAGCAAUGCCGGGCACGCGUGCCCGGAGGGAGAGUACCCGCAGAAUAAGCAUCGGCUAACUCCGUGCCAGCAGCCGCGGUAAUACGGAGGAUGCGCGCGUUAUCCGGAGUUAUUGGGUUUAAAGGGUGCGUAGGCGGAUUUUUAAGUCAGCGGUAAAAUGUCCGGGCUCAACCCGGGCCGGCCGUUGAAACUGGGGAUCUUGAGUGGGCGAGAAGUAGGCGGAAUGCGUGGUGUAGCGGUGAAAGGCAUAGAUAUCACGCAGAACUCCGAUUGCGAAGGCAGCAUACCGGCGCCCGACUGACGCUGAGGCACGAAAGCGUGGGGAGCGAACAGGAUUAGAUACCCUUGUAGUC